rnacentral:rRNA from 1 species
UACGUAGGCGGAUCAGAAAGUUAGGGGUGAAAUCCCGGGGCUCAACCCCGGAACUGCCUCUAAAACUCCUGGUCUUGAGUUCGAGAGAGGUGAGUGGAAUUCCGAGUGUAGAGGUGAAAUUCGUAGAUAUUCGGAGGAACACCAGUGGCGAAGGCGGCUCACUGGCUCGAUACUGACGCUGAGGUACGAAAGUGUGGGGAGCAAACA